UGGGGAAUAUUGGACAAUGGGCGCAAGCCUGAUCCAGCCAUGCCGCGUGAGUGAUGAAGGCCCUAGGGUUGUAAAGCUCUUUCACCGGUGAAGAUAAUGACGGUAACCGGAGAAGAAGCCCCGGCUAACUUCGUGCCAGCAGCCGCGGUAAUACGAAGGGGGCUAGCGUUGUUCGGAUUUACUGGGCGUAAAGCGCACGUAGGCGGACUAUUAAGUCAGGGGUGAAAUCCCGGGGCUCAACCCCGGAACUGCCUUUGAUACUGGUAGUCUUGAGUUCGAGAGAGGUGAGUGGAAUUCCGAGUGUAGAGGUGAAAUUCGUAGAUAUUCGGAGGAACACCAGUGGCGAAGGCGGCUCAAUGGCUCGAUACUGACGCUGAGGUGCGAAAGCGUGGGGAGCAAACAGG
rnacentral:rRNA from 1 species